rfam:Stegodyphus mimosarum contig77505, whole genome shotgun sequence.
GCCUUCGUGGUGUAAUGGUCAGCACACCGAGCCGGUAUUUCAGAGGUCCGCGGUUCGAUUCCCGGCGAAGGCG